CGAGUUGGCCGGGCGGCCGCGAGGGUCACUCCCUCGAGGAAAGUCCGGACUCCGCAGGGCAGGGUGGUUGCUAACCGCAACCCGGGGCGACCCGCGGGACAGUGCCACAGAAAACAGACCGCCCCGGUCCGGCAGGACCGGGGUAAGGGUGAAACGGUGGUGUAAGAGACCACCAGCACCCCGGGUGACCGGGGUGGCUCGGUAAACCCCACCCGGAGCAAGGCCAAGAGGGCGCCGCGAGGUGCCUGCGCAGGCGAUCGAGGGCGGCCCGUCCGAUGCCUGCGGGUAGGCCGCUCGAGCCCGCCGGCGACGGCGGGCCUAGAUGGAUGGCCGCCACCGCGGCUCCGGCCGCGGGACAGGAUCCGGCUUACAGGUCAACUCGUCCG
rnacentral:RNase_P_RNA from 1 species